UACGUAGGUGGCAAGCGUUGUCCGGAUUUACUGGGCGUAAAGGGCGUGCAGGCGGUUUGUUAAGUCUAGGGUGAAAGCUCCCGGCUCAACUGGGAGAGGUCCUUGGAUACUGGAUGGCUUGAGUUCGGGAGAGGGAUGCGGAAUUCCAGGUGUAGCGGUGAAAUGCGUAGAUAUCUGGAGGAACACCGGUGGCGAAGGCGGCAUCCUGGACCGACACUGACACUGAGGAGCGAAAGCCAGGGGAGCAAACGGG
rnacentral:rRNA from 1 species